CGCAUUGCAAACAAUUGCAAAAUUGCAAAAUCUUAGUGGCCUGCAGCAAAAAGCAUUUAUUUCUCUCAUCUAGGCAGGGCUUGGCUGGACAGCCGUGCUGACCUUGGCUUGGACUAGCUCACACACCUGCUCCGUGGGUCUCCCAUCAUUCUAGUGGACCCAGUGGGCAGCCCGGAUAUGUUCUUCUCAUGUCAAUGGCAGAGGCAGGAGAGCAAGGAAGCCCAGCCAAUUCAACUAGAGAGAAAUUGAGAAGAAGCAUCCACUGAAGUAUCACAUGGCUUCUUAGAAUUUAUUACACAUUGUUAUUGGGUCACAGUAUGUGAAAACAUGGAGACCGAGAAUACAGAACUGUGUAGAAGUGAAUGAGUCUGCCACCUCUCCUUGUACCUAUCCACUGUGAAACAAGGGCGUUCAUGCACACGUUACUGUAAAUGCCCUGGAGGCCUUAUGAAUAAUCAUUGGAGCAGUAUCUGCUGCAAGAUAACAUUGUGCUUUAUUUUUGCCUUUAAGUAAAAGGAAUCUGAAAUGAAACAAUCUUCAUUUCAGAUAUAAAUCAGCCCCAUAAACUUGAAGCUAACCAGAGAUCCUGAGGCAUUCUCAUUACAUGAAGUAAUUGGUUGGUUGCAAGACUCAAUUGUACUGCAAAGUCUUCCUGAGAAUUCAGAUGAGCAGUUAUCUGAAGAGUUACACAUCCUCUCACCCGACAUGUUGUAGGAACACAUAGCAUUGGCCAGUGGGGCGAAUGAUUUCUAGUCUCUGAUGAGGCCGGAACUCUCCAGCAAGUGGGCCUAUGACUGAGAAACCCCGGGCAACUUUGAGGUCCCUUUGAGGAAAUGAAACUUCAUCAAAAGCAGCCAAUAUUAAUGAUAUAUUGAGCAUCUAUUGUGUACAUCCAGUCUUCUAGUCUCCUUGGUGACAUUCAUCUUAUUUAACCUUCCCAGUAAAUCAGCAAAAUAAGUACCAUUACCCUCUUUUAUGGAAUAAAACUAAAACUCACAGAGGUUGAGUAACUUUUGAAUCACUCAACCUUCUCAACGCAUGAAGAAAAAAUCCGACCCAAACAAGAGACAUUGGAGAGGCUUAUUCUUCUUUUUUCGACUUUUUUAACACCAAUAGAAAACGAAGACAGCUGUUCAGCAGAUAUAGCAAGAGGGAGGCUGAGAGGUCUUUCAUCAGGAGGCACGGUGUGAGCUCGAGCUGAGCUUUUGCUUGCCGUCUACCAUUGCUGUUUGCUACCGUCGCAGACCCACCACUGACUUCCAUCCCUCUGGAUCAGGCAGGGUGUCCGCUGUGCUCCUGAUCCAGCGAGGUGCCCAUUGCUGCUCCUGAUCGGGAUAAAGGCUUGCCAUUGUUCCUGCAAGGCUAAGUGCCUG
rnacentral:lncRNA from 1 species